rnacentral:rRNA from 1 species
ACUUGGCUUGCUAAGUUUGAUGGCGACCGGCGCACGGGUGAGUAACACGUAUCCAACCUGCCGAUGACUCGGGGAUAGCCUUUCGAAAGAAAGAUUAAUACCCGAUGGCAUAGUUCUUCCGCAUGGUAGAACUAUUAAAGAAUUUCGGUCAUCGAUGGGGAUGCGUUCCAUUAGGUUGUUGGCGGGGUAACGGCCCACCAAGCCUUCGAUGGAUAGGGGUUCUGAGAGGAAGGUCCCCCACAUUGGAACUGAGACACGGUCCAAACUCCUACGGGAGGCAGCAGUGAGGAAUAUUGGUCAAUGGACGAGAGUCUGAACCAGCCAAGUAGCGUGAAGGAUGACUGCCCUAUGGGUUGUAAACUUCUUUUAUACGGGAAUAAAGUGAGGCACGCGUGCCUUUUUGUAUGUACCGUAUGAAUAAGGAUCGGCUAACUCCGUGCCAGCAGCCGCGGUAAUACGGAGGAUCCGAGCGUUAUCCGGAUUUAUUGGGUUUAAAGGGAGCGUAGGCGGACGCUUAAGUCAGUUGUGAAAGUUUGCGGCUCAACCGUAAAAUUGCAGUUGAUACUGGGUGUCUUGAGUACAGUAGAGGCAGGCGGAAUUCGUGGUGUAGCGGUGAAAUGCUUAGAUAUCACGAAGAACUCCGAUUGCGAAGGCAGCUUGCUGGACUGUAACUGACGCUGAUGCUCGAAAGUGUGGGUAUCAAACAGGAUUAGAUACCCUGGUAGUCCACACAGUAAACGAUGAAUACUCGCUGUUUGCGAUAUACGGUAAGCGGCCAAGCGAAAGCGUUAAGUAUUCCACCUGGGGAGUAC